rnacentral:rRNA from 1 species
CCACGGCGGCAGCAGUGGGGAAUAUUGGACAAUGGGCGAAAGCCUGAUCCAGCCAUGCCGCGUGUGUGAAGAAGGCCUUCGGGUUGUAAAGCACUUUCAGUGGGGAAGAAAGCCUUGGGGCUAAUACCCUCGAGGAAGGACAUCACCCACAGAAGAAGCACCGGCUAACUCCGUGCCAGCAGCCGCGGUAAUACGGAGGGUGCGAGCGUUAAUCGGAAUUACUGGGCGUAAAGCGCGCGUAGGCGGUCUGAUAAGCCGGUUGUGAAAGCCCCGGGCUCAACCUGGGAACGGCAUCCGGAACUGUCAGGCUAGAGUGCAGGAGAGGAAGGUAGAAUUCCCGGUGUAGCGGUGAAAUGCGUAGAGAUCGGGAGGAAUACCAGUGGCGAAGGCGGCCUUCUGGACUGACACUGACGCUGAGGUGCGAAAGCGUGGGUAGCAAACAGGAUUAGAUACCCCAGUAGUC